UACGGAGGGUGCAAACGUUGCUCGGAAUCAUUGGGCGUAAAGCGCACGUAGGCGGUCUCGCAAGUCGGAUGUGAAAGCCCGCGGCUCAACCGCGGAAGUGCAUCCGAAACUACGAGGCUGGAGUACUGGAGAGGAUCGCGGAAUUCCCGGUGUAGAGGUGAAAUUCGUAGAUAUCGGGAGGAACACCAGUGGCGAAGGCGGCGAUCUGGACAGAUACUGACGCUGAGGUGCGAAAGCGUGGGGAGCAAACAGG
rnacentral:rRNA from 1 species